UCCAGACUCCUACGGGAGGCAGCAGUGGGGAAUAUUGCGCAAUGGGCGAAAGCCUGACGCAGCGACGCCGCGUGAGGGAUGAAGGUCUUCGGAUCGUAAACCUCGGUCAGCAGGGAAGAACGGUCACUGUGCUAAUCAGCAGUGAAUUGACGGUACCUGCAAAGGAAGCACCGGCUAACUCCGUGCCAGCAGCCGCGGUAAUACGGGGGGUGCAAGCGUUGUCCGGAAUCAUUGGGCGUAAAGAGUUCGUAGGUGGCACGUUAAGUCUGGUGUUAAAGGCGGAAGCUCAACUUCCGUAGGGCACUGGAUACUGGCGAGCUUGAAUGCGGUAGAGGUAAAGGGAAUUCCUGGUGUAGCGGUGAAAUGCGUAGAUAUCAGGAGGAACAUCGGUGGCGUAAGCGCUUUACUGGGCCGUAAUUGACACUGAGGAACGAAAGCCGGGGUAGCAAAUGGGAUUAGAUACCCGAGUU
rnacentral:rRNA from 1 species